rnacentral:rRNA from 1 species
AACCUCCGCAAUGUGAGAAAUCGCGACGGGGGGAUCCCAAGUGCCAUUCUUAACGGGAUGGCUUUUCAUUAGUGUAAAGAGCUUUUGGAAUAAGGGCUGGGCAAGACCGGUGCCAGCCGCCGCGGUAACACCGGCAGCUCUAGUGGUAGCAGUUUUUAUUGGGCCUAAAGCGUCCGUAGCCGGUUUAAUAAGUCUCUGGUGAAAUCCUGUAGCUUAACUGUGGGAAUUGCUGGAGAUACUAUUAGACUUGAGACCGGGAGAGGUUAGAGGUACUCCCAGGGUAGAGGUGAAAUUCUGUAAUCCUGGGAGGACCGCCUGUUGCGAAGGCGUCUAACUGGAACGGUUCUGACGGUGAGGGACGAAAGUUAGGGGCGCGAACCGGAUUAGAUACCCGGGUAGUCCUAACUGUAAACGAUGCGGACUUGGUGUUGGGGUGGCUUUGAGCUGCUUCAGUGCCGAAGGGAAGCUGUUAAGUCCGCCGCCUGGAAGUACGGUCGCAAGACUGAAACUUAAAGGAAUU